rnacentral:rRNA from 1 species
AAGAAAGAUUAAUACCCGAUGGUAUAAUCAGACCGCAUGGUCUUGUUAUUAAAGAAUUUCGGUUAUCGAUGGGGAUGCGUUCCAUUAGGCAGUUGGUGAGGUAACGGCUCACCAAACCUUCGAUGGAUAGGGGUUCUGAGAGGAAGGUCCCCCACAUUGGAACUGAGACACGGUCCAAACUCCUACGGGAGGCAGCAGUGAGGAAUAUUGGUCAAUGGGCGCAGGCCUGAACCAGCCAAGUAGCGUGAAGGAUGACUGCCCUAUGGGUUGUAAACUUCUUUUAUAUGGGAAUAAAAUUUUCCACGUGUGGAAUU